rnacentral:lncRNA from 1 species
GGACUAUGGAUCAGGUACUGUGCUCAGCAUCAGAAAAUGGGAUGACAAUGAACAGAGUAACAGGACUAUAUUUCUGAAAAAGGAUGAACUUACUGGAAACAGGAUUGCGUGCCUGAAAUAUAUCCAAAUGGAUAUAAAUGUCAACUCAGUUCUGGGCUGGAGAUAUAGAUUUGGAAUGCACCAACAAUGCAGAUGGUAAUCCUGGCAUGCGAGUAGGUGAGAUCAUCCAGGGAGAUGGCCUAUAAUGAGAGCCUACAACAUGUCAGGGCUCAAGCACCUCUUACUGCCUCCUCACUCUGGAACCAAAUGCCUUACUGUAAGUGGCAUCUAGAUCUUGCCAGUGACUUUCCUGUACAGGGCCUAAACUCAAUCUCUGGUUUUCUCAGCAUUUAAGUGACAGGAUCACAGAAUGUGAAUUUUGAACAGAUCUGAAAAGUUAUUAAGUUCAACUCCACAGAGGUUCCUAGGAGAAUGUUAACAGUCCAGACCUUUUUCACUACAUCAACCACGGAUGAUUGGCAUAUAAAAUCCUACUUAACCUUUACAUAACUGCAAUACCAGGAAACAAAUAUGUCAAUAAAAGGAAACAUCAUUCAAU